GACGUAGGGCGCGAGCGUUGUCCGGAUUUAUUGGGCGUAAAGAGCUCGUAGGCGGCUUGUUGCGUCGACCGUGAAAACCCGCGGCUUAACUGCGGGCUUGCGGUCGAUACGGGCGGGCUGGAGUUCGGUAGGGGAGACUGGAAUUUACGGUGUAGCGGUGAAAUGCGUAGAUAUCGUAAGGAAGACCAGUGGCGAAGGCGGGUCUCUGGACAGUUCCUGACGCUGAGGCACGAAGGUCGGGGGAGCAAACGGG
rnacentral:rRNA from 1 species